GACGAACGCUGGCGGCGUGCUUAACACAUGCAAGUCGAACGGUGAAGCGCCUUCCUUUUUGGUGGGUGUGGAUGAGUGGCGAACGGGUGAGUAACACGUGAGUAACCUGCCCCCUUCUUCUGGAUAACCGCAUGAAAGUGUGGCUAAUACGGGAUAUUCUGGGUCUGUCGCAUGAUGGGUCUGGGAAAGAUAUUGUUUCGGUGGGGGAUGGGCUCGCGGCCUAUCAGCUUGUUGGUGGGGUGAUGGCCUACCAAGGCGGUGACGGGUAGCCGGCCUGAGAGGGUGGACGGUCACACUGGGACUGGGACACGGCCCAGACUCCUACGGGAGGCAGCAGUGGGGAAUAUUGCACAAUGGGCGCAAGCCUGAUGCAGCGACGCCGCGGGAGGGAUGGAGGCCUGCGGGUUGUGAACCUCUUUCGCCAGUGAAGCAGGCCUGCCUCGUUUGUGGGUGGGUUGACGGUAGCUGGAUAAGAAGCGCCGGCUAACUACGUG
rnacentral:rRNA from 1 species